ACCGUAGUAAAUCUACAGCUAAUACAUGCAUAAAAUCCCGACUUUUAGGAAGGGAUGUAUUUAUUAGUUUAAAAACCGAUACGGACUUGUCCGGUUAUUGGUGAAUCAUGAUAACUGCUCGAAUCGCAUGGUCUUGUGCCGGCGAUAGGUCAUACAAAUUUCUGCCCUAUCAGCUUUCGUCGGUAAUGUAGUGGAUUACCGAGGCUUUGACGGGUAACGGAGAAUUAGGGUUCGAUUCCGGAGAGGGAGCCUGAGAAACGGCUACCACUUCUAAGGAAGGCAGCAGGCGCGCAAAUUACCCAAUCCUGCCACAGGGAGGUAGUGACAAUAAAUAACAAUACCGGUCCUUCAUGGUCUGGUAAUUGGAAUGAGUACAAUUUAAAACCCUUAACGAGGAUCCAUUGAGGGCAAGUCUGGUGCCAGCAGCCGCGGUAACACCAGCUCCAAUAGCGUAUAUUAAAGUUGUUGCAGUUAAAAAGCUCGUAGUUGGAUAUCUGGUGAGGACACCUGACCCGCUGCCUUCGGGUAGUGAUGCGUCGGUUGUUGUCCCUGCCAUCCUUUCGGAGAGCUGUUUCUAUUCUUCAUUGAGUGGGAACGCGAUCUGGAUCUUUUACUUUGAAAAAAUUAGAGUGUUCAAAGCAGGCGUUUGCAUUUGAACAUAUUAGCAUGGAAUAAUAAAAUAGGACUUUGGUUCUAUUUUGUUGGUUUGAGGACUGAAGUAAUGAUUGAUAGGGAUAGUUGGGGGUGCUUGUAUUGGACGGCCAGAGGUGAAAUUCUUGGAUUCGUUCAAGACAAACUACUGCGAAAGCAUUCACCAAGUAUGUCUUCUUUAAUCAAGAACGAAAGUUGGGGGAUCGAAGACGAUUAGAUACCGUCGUAGUCUCAACCAUAAACGAUGCCAGCUAAGGUUCAGUGGACGUUGUCUUUUUGACUUCGUUGGCACUUUACGAGAAAUCAAAGCUUUUGGGUUCCGGGGGGAGUCUGGUCGCAAGGCUGAAACUUAAAGGAAUUGACGGAAGGGCACCACAAGGCGUGGAGCCUGCGGCUUAUUUUGACCCAACACGGGAAAACUUACCAGGUCCGACACAGGAAGGAUUGACAGAUUGCAGAUCUUUCUUGAUUCUGUGGGUGGUGGUGCAUGGCCGUUCUUAGUUGGUGGAGUGAUUUGUCUGGUUAAUUCCGUUAACGAACGAGACCUCAGCCUGCUAACUAGUCCGACGAACGUUUGUUCGUUCGCUUUCGGAGCUUCUUAGAGGGACUGUCUGUUUCUAGCAGAAGGAAGUGUGAGGCAAUAACAGGUCUGUGAUGCCCUUCGAUGUCCUGGGCGGCACGCGCGCUACAAUGUUUGAUUCAGCAAGAAUUUUCCUGGACCGAGAGGUCUCGGUAAUCUUUGAAAUUCAAACGUGAUGGGGCUAGACUAUUGCAAUUUUUAGUCUUAAACGAGGAAUGCCUAGUAAACGCGAGUCAUCAGCUCGCAUUGAUUACGUCCCUGCCCUUUGUACACACCGCCCGUCGCUCCUACCGAUUGAAUGAUCCGGUGAAAUCAGUGGACUGUGGUGCUUAUUGGGUUUCUGAUGGGUACCGUCGGGAAAUUGAUUAAACCUUAUCAUUUAGAGGAAGGAGAAGUCGUAACAAGGUU
rnacentral:rRNA from 1 species